rnacentral:rRNA from 1 species
AUACGGAAGGUCCGGGCGUUAUCCGGAUUUAUUGGGUUUAAAGGGAGCGCAGGCGGAGAUGCAAGCGUGACGUCAAAUUUCGGGGCUCAACCCCGUCUCGCGUCGCGAACUGCGUCCCUUGGUUGCGGGAAGGGGAGGCGGAACUCGUGGUGUAGCGGUGAAAUGCAUAGAUAUCACGAAGAACUCCGAUCGCGAAGGCAGCCUUCCGGCCCGUCAACGACGCUCAUGCUCGAAGGUGCGGGUAUCAAACAGGAUUAGAUACCCUGGUAGUCCGCACAGUAAACGAUGGACUCCCGCGGUUUGGCCUGUAUGGCUGAGCCGCCAAGCGAAAGCGUUAAGUGUCCCACCUGGGGAGUACGCCGGCAACGGUGAAACUCAAAUGAAUUGGCGGGG